rnacentral:rRNA from 1 species
GACGAACGCUGGCGGCGUGCCUAACACAUGCAAGUCGAACGGAGCUGUUUUGGAAGUCCUUCGGGCGGAAGAGAUAGCUUAGUGGCGAACGGGUGAGUAACGCGUGAGCAACCUGCCUUUCAGAGGGGGACAACAGUUGGAAACGACUGCUAAUACCGCAUAAUGCAACGAAGCCGCAUGACUUUGUUGCCAAAGAUUUAUCGCUGAAAGAUGGGCUCGCGUCUGAUUAGAUAGUUGGUGGGGUAACGGCCUACCAAGUACGACGAUCAGUAGCCGGACUGAGAGGUUGAACGGCCACAUUGGGACUGAGAUACGGCCCAGACUCCUACGGGAGGCAGCAGUGGGGAAUAUUGGGGCAAUGGGGGCAACCCUGACCCAGCAACGCCGCGUGAAGGAGAAGGCUUUCGGUUGUAAACUCUUUAGUCAGGGGACGAAGAACGGUGACGGUACCUGGCAGGAAAAAAGCAACGGCUAACUACGUGCCAGCAG